GCUCCAGUGUCCCAGGAAUUUUGCAUUUGUAGUUUGUUUCCUUUUCAAGACUGAAGUUAAUAUAAACGGAUGCCGUUUUUUCCCUCUCCCUUUAGAAUGGGAUGUGUGCUGGAGUAACAAAGAGUAAUUGUUAUGCAGCGUGAGGGUCUUGAUUUCCAACAAGGAGUGGUCUGAAGAGGAGCAGACUGACCAGAAUAUACUAUAAAAGCAUUGAUCGCUGGAAUUCUGAAGGCUGGAGACGGAGCAGAGAACACGCAGACUUCAUCAUGAACUUCCAGGGCAUAUUUUAUCAUCUCUGCUUCUUUCACACUGCUCUGAGCCUGCAGCAUGUGAGGUGGUGCACUAUCUCUGAGCAAGAACAGGACAAGUGUAAUGACAUGAGCGCAGCCUUCACUGAUGCCAACAUCCUUCCCAAUGUAUUGUGUGUUAGAGGUGGCUCAGCCAUUAACUGCACCCAUAUGAUCAAGAACAAUUUGGCAGAUGCGGUGACAUUGGAUGGUGGCACCAUUUAUCAAGCUGGAAAGGAACAUAAUCUGAAACCUGUGGUUGGAGAAGUAUAUGAUCAAGAAAUUGGCACUUCAUACUAUGCAGUGGCUGUUGUCAGAAAAAAUUCCUUCAUUAACAUAAACAGUUUGAAGGGUGUAAAGUCAUGCCACACAGGCAUCAACAGAACAGUUGGCUGGAAUGUUCCUGUUGGCUACCUCAUUGAUAGUGGUCGCAUGUCAGUGAUGGGAUGCAGUGUUCCAAAAGCUGUUAGUGAAUAUUUCAGUGCAAGCUGUGUUCCUGGAGCCAAUAAUGUAAAUUACCCCAAAUCCCUCUGUCAGCUCUGUAAAGGGGACGCAUCUGGGCAGGACAAAUGUGAAAGAAAUUCAAAAGAGCAGUAUUAUGACUACAGCGGGGCUUUCAGGUGUUUGGCUGAAGGAGCUGGAGAUGUCGCCUUUGUGAAGCACAGCACAGUGUCUGAAAACACAGAUGGCCAGACUCCUUCCUCAUGGGCCCAAGAGCUUCACUCCAGGGACUUCCAGCUUCUCUGCCGCGAUGGCAGCACAGCUGAGGUUACAGACUGGAGGAAAUGCCACCUGGCCCGAGUUCCAGCUCACGCUGUUGUCGUCAGACCUGACACCGAUGGGUCACUCAUCUUCCAGAUGCUUAAGCAGGGGCAGCAAAGAUUUCAGAUGUUUGACUCUGCAGCUUACAAUGCAAAGAAUCUUCUCUUCAAAGACACCACCACAGAAUUGGUUCCAAUCACAAAUCAGAACUACCAGGCUUGGCUGGGUGAUGAAUAUAUGCAUGCCAUGCAAGGCUUGAGCUGCGAUCCCACCAGGUUGCCAGAAAGCCUGCGAUGGUGCGUUGUGCUCACUGAGGAGAUCUGGAAAUGUAGUGAAAUGGCUGUUGCCUUUAAAAAAAAGAACUUGAAACCAGAGAUCCAGUGUGUUUCAGCCAAGACAACAGAACAGUGUAUGGAAAUGAUCCAGAAAAAAGAAAGUGAUGCUGUAAGUGUGGAUGGAGCUGAUAUUUACACAGCUGGAAACAUGUAUGGCCUAGUGCCAGCCGCUGGGGAAAGUUACUCUGCUGAUGACAACAGCAACAUGUACUAUGCUGUGGCAUUAGUGAAACGGAACAAUUCCAAUGCUUUCACCAUCAAUGAUCUGAAAGGGAAAAAGUCCUGCCACACAGGAUAUGGGAGAAUGGCUGGAUGGAACAUCCCUAUUGGUGUUCUAAUUAAAAGGGGCUUUAUUAGGCCCAUGGACUGCAAUAUUCCUCAAGCUGUGAGUGACUUUUUCUCCGCUAGCUGUGUGCCUGCAGCCAAGAUGGACAAUUACCCAUCAAAACUCUGUGAGCUUUGCAUUGGCGAUAAUAGUGGAAACAAUAAAUGCGAUGCAAGUACCCAGGAACGUUAUUAUAGCUACAGUGGAGCCUUCAGGUGUCUGAUGGAGGAUUCUGGUGAUGUGGCCUUUGUCAAGCAUUCAACAGUUUUUGAGAACACCGAUGGUAACAAUGCUGAUUCCUGGGCUCUUCACCUGCAGUCCAGCGACUUCCAGUUACUGUGUCCAAAUGGAGCCCGUGCUGAAAUCACUCAGUUUGCUCAGUGUCACUUGGCUCAGGUGCCUGCCCAGGUUGUCAUGGUCCACCCAGACACCAACAUUUUUGCUGUAUAUGGACUACUGGACAAAGCUCAGGAUUUCUUUGGAAAUGACAGCAAUGGAAAUGGAUUCAAAAUGUUUGAUUCCUCAGAUUUCCUAGGAACAGAUUUGAUCUUUAAAGAUUCCACCGUUAAGAUUGUACCAGUAGGAGAGAAAACAACCUAUGCAGAAUGGCUGGGAAGUGAAUAUAUAGAUUCUCUUAAAGGGAUGCAAUCACCACAGUGCUCUGGGGCAGCUGCAAUAUCCAUGAACAUCAUUGUGCUGCCGGUGGCUAGUGUCCUUCUGAUUAGAUUCUACUCGUGAUCAUCAGGCCGUUCCUUGGAUUAACAGAUAUUCAGCAUAAUAAACUGAAAUACUGGGAGUUUCUCUCUGAUGAUGAGGACUCUGUUAAGGAUUUUAUAUACUACUGAUCCUUUUUGAAGGCUCAGCACAGAGGUAGUCUCAAGAGAGCAGAUGGCUUCAAGACAACAACCAGAGCUGAAGCAGAUGGUGGUGCUGAGGUACCUUGGACUGAAGCUGUAAAGAGCAGAGACUCUGGUGCAGGUCUUCAUACCCAGCAAUGAAAACUGAAAUAACUUCAGCUGGGUUGGGUGGUAGAGACUCCUGAAGAACACUAGCCAGCUCUUCCCUUUGGGGCUAGAGAAUGACCUGCCAGAAUUCUUGGACUCCAGCAACCUUGGCCAACAAACUGUGAGUUGGGAAGUUGGGGAUGAGGGAAGUGACUAAAAUGCUUUAGCUACUCACAACUGCAAGAGGUGGACUGAGGUUGGGACUAUUAUUAAAACACACAAAGGGGAGGGGAAUCUUACUUAAUAGAUAUUGUUAAUUUAUUAAUUCCUGGCUUUCCCAAAUUAAUUCUGUUGUCUCCACUACCCCUAAUAAAGUUCUCAGUGUUUUAAAUAAUUAGACUUAGUGCUUAUUAGUGGGAAGUAUUGACCAUUAAGGUCACCCAGGGUGAUAUAUAUAUAGUUUCCCAUGUUUUUGGGGUGGUGAGGGCUUAUGCAAGUGUAAGUAUUCAGAAAGAACUCCUAGAAAAUUGAACCUGGUCCUUCUUACUGCAGACAGCAUGUGGGCAGUAAGGUUACCCUUUUUUACUGUAUGAAGGAACAGUGCUAUUAAUAAUUUCAUGUUAAUACUUUACUUCAAAAGUAAAUUGUCUUUGUAAAUUUAGUGCUCCGGAUACACAGGCCAAGACAGUGAAGUCAUCCUUAUACUCACAGAUCAGGUACAAUACAGGAAGAGGCAAUGAAAGCUACCCUACAAUGUGCCUCACCCAAGUUCUCAUGGGAUCACCUCUAAGUGUGGGAGAUUAGUUUGGUCUCAACGACCAACUUAAUCGUUGGCCUCUCUGUUUUAACUUUAUAUUGUUAUUUCUUUUCUUUUCUUUUUCACUUUGGGAGGCACUCAGAUACUAUGGGGAUGGAGGUCAAAUAAUCAGGUAGGUAGCUAGAAUUGUUAUAUACCAAUUAUGUGGCGGUUGGGGGAUGAGGACAUUAGGCCACUAAAAACUGGACUCUUCACAUAGGCCACCAAAUAGCUAUCCACUUGUAACACCUUUUAGUUACUUAUGGCCCCGGGCUUGAUUUGAAUUAUCUAAUGGUGAAAUGCCAUCACCAAUCUCUUGAGCCUCAGCUCAUUAUAUCAGCUGUGCAUUGAACACUCAGACAGGUAGGAGUUGAAGAUCAUGUAUGUGUAACUGGAAAUGUAACUUCGCCUACACUUUCCAUAAAGUCUCUCAUUGAUCUAUGGCCUUAGAGUUAUAGGGUAUUAAUGAUCUCCAAAUAGGUAUUAUAUAGGCA